UGGUGACUAUAGCAAGGAGGUCACACCUGUUCCCAUGCCGAACACAGAAGUUAAGCUCCUUAGCGUCGAUGGUAGUCGACACAAAGAAAAAUGGCUUGGCGAAGU
rnacentral:rRNA from 1 species